rnacentral:rRNA from 1 species
AUACCCGGGUAGUCCCAGCCGUAAACGAUGCUCGCUAGGUGUCAGGCAUGGCGCGACCGUGUCUGGUGCCGCAGGGAAGCCGUGAAGCGAGCCACCUGGGAAGUACGGCCGCAAGGCUGAAACUUAAAGGAAUUGGCGGGGGAGCACAACAACGGGUGGAGCCUGCGGUUUAAUUGGACUCAACGCCGGACAACUCACCGGGGGCGACAGCAAUAUGUAGGCCAAGCUGAAGACUUUGCCUGAAUCGCUGAGAGGAGGUGCAUGGCCGUCGCCAGUUCGUACUGUGAAGCAUCCUGUUAAGUCAGGCAACGAGCGAGACCCGUGCCCACUGUUACCAGCAUGUCCUCCGGGACGAUGGGUACACUGUGGGGACCGCCGGUGUUAAAUCGGAGGAAGGUGCGGGCCACGGUAGGUCAGUAUGCCCCGAAUCUCCCGGGCUACACGCGGGCUACAAUGGAUGGGACAAUGGGUCCCUCCCCUGAAAAGGGCUGGCAAUCUCACAAACCCAUCCUUAGUUCGGAUCGAGGGCUGUAACUCGCCCUCGUGAAGCUGGAAUCCGUAGUAAUCGC